UUGGCAGCCGGUCUCUGAGGCAAGGUGAAAAGGCUGCUGGAAAUGUAUAAAAACCAUGGGACAGGAUCCUUCUUCACCUGUGAUCUGCUUUGGGUUUCAAGAAGGGGAAUCCCUAAGCCUUAAGAAUUGAGAUUCCCAGUCACUGACUGGAGUCACCCUGAAUAUGGACAUUGGACUAUAACCUCUGGACUAUUUCUAAAAG